GGGAGGUAGUGACAAUAAAUAACAAUACGGGGUUCUUUUGGAUUUCGUAAUUGGAAUGAGUACAAUUUAAAUCUCUUAACGAGGAACAAUUGGAGGGCAAGUCUGGUGCCAGCAGCCGCGGUAAUUCCAGCUCCAAUAGCGUAUAUUAAAGUUGUUGCAGUUAAAAAGCUCGUAGUUGAAUUUCGGGGUUAGUAGGUUGGUCGUACCACUGGUAUGUACCGGCUUUACUGAUUCCUCCUUCUUGAAGAACUGUAAUGCCAUUUAUUUGGUGCUGCAGGGAAUCAGGACUUGUUACUUUGAAAAAUUAGAGUGUUUAAAGCAGGCUAACGCUUGAAUACAUUAGCAUGGAAUAAUAAAAUAGGACGUAACGAUCCUAUUUUGUUGGUUUCUAGGAUUGACGUAAUGAUUAAUAGGGAUAGUUGGG
rnacentral:rRNA from 1 species